rnacentral:tRNA from 1 species
GGGGCCGUAGCUCAGCUGGGAGAGCGCAUCCCUCGCACGGAUGAGGUCAGGGGUUCGAAUCCCCUCGGCUCCACCA